GGCCGGGCCGGCGCGGGCAUUUCCCACCCGCUGUCCUGCCCCUGCAGGCAGCAGCGCCCGUUUUUCUGAGGCUUCUAAUGUGAGGAAAAACACGGAAUGACAAGUGUGGGAAAGAGCAAGCACUAAAUUACUGUCAGAAAAAUAAACGGAGUAGCACAGUGGUGCUCAGUGAUUUACGGGGGCAAUUAGUCACCACCCCACGGCGCUGCUGAGGACAGCAUGGCAGCAGACACGUCAGGCCUACGAGGAAGAAGAGGCCUGGGCUGCUCUCCAGACAACUUUUCAAACAACAAGAGAGGAUAUCUGAGCACAUUAGGCUCCAUGUCUUCAUUCUGAGUGUCUCCCCUUCACAUUUCCCACCAACUUAAGACAUAAACGUAGUUUUAACACAAUAUUAACCUAUUCUGAGUGUGUUAAAAAGCCUCCAACUGCAGCUUUUUUCUCUUACUUUCCAAAGUGGGUUUUUCCCCAUCCCUUAAAAAACAAAAUCCAAAGUAAUUUACUCCCUCUCUUAUUGUCCCCCUUGUGUGUGCCUCAGGUCUGUCUCAUUAUUUCUUGCACAUUGCUACCAUGUUCUACAUUUGCUCAGAGCCACUGGGUGCUCAGGAAUUUAUUCUGUAGCUCCUCAGCGGAAGUUUGGUGAAUUGGUGCAAGGAGGUGAUGAAGGAGCUGCAAAACACAGGAUAAAUGAAAAAGAUAUGCAAAGUUUGCAAUAUUUGUUAAUAUGUUCUUUAAUGUAAUAUAUGUGCCAUGUAUAUGUCAAAAUAGCAAAAUAAACUUUCUAAGGCAUAA